UACGUAGGGUGCGAGCGUUGUCCGGAAUUAUUGGGCGUAAAGGGCUCGUAGGCGGUUUGUCGCGUCGGGAGUGAAAACCAGGUGCUUAACACCUGGCUUGCUUUCGAUACGGGCAGACUAGAGGUAUGCAGGGGAGAACGGAAUUCCUGGUGUAGCGGUGAAAUGCGUAGAUAUCGGGAGGAACACCAGUGGCGAAGGCGGCGACCUGGGCCAAUACUGACGCUGAGGUGCGAAAGCGUGGGGAGCAAACAGG
rnacentral:rRNA from 1 species